AAAAAAACAAAGAACAGAAGAGUACCUUUAUUCUUUUAUUUAAGAGAGUCUUUGGUUGGUGAAAAAAGACAUAAAGAUAAAGCGAACCACAUCUGGGAGUUGACUUUUUGAAUUUACAUGUAGGAAAGUUCGGGAGUGCCCGUUACAGCAUUAGGAGUCUAUGACUUCUUGAGGUUAUCAUUGUGAAAUGAUAAUAAAUAAAGGUGGAACCACGAUUUUACGUCCUUUGG
rnacentral:ncRNA from 1 species